AACCUCUCACUCCCCCCAUGAGAUCUCUUUCUCCCUCACUCCUUCUCAUUUUCUAAAAAAAUGUGUUCAUACACACAAAGUGUGUAAGCAAAUAAUAGUAUAAAUUAAUAUUACAAAUUUUGUGUAUGUUCAAGUAAGAAGUUUAUAGACUUUGAGUGUUUGAGUCUUUGUUUAUAGAAUUUUGUUAACCAAAUCAGUUGCAUAUGCAGAAAAUAUGUUGUAAAAUUACAAUACCAAUAAUAUGCUAGGUGAAAUGUAACACCCCAACCCCCAAUUAUAUAUAUAAUUUCAUUAUUCCCCAAAACUUUUAUAAUUUAUCAAUUUAGUCCCGUUGUUUU
rnacentral:lncRNA from 1 species